ensembl:lncRNA
CAGCGGACCCAGGAGAAGAAAGAAACAAGGCUUGCAAACACACAGCGUUCCUGCCACAGAUAGAUCCCAUCCCAGGCAUGCUGUCCACCCAACAACCCCUACAUAGGAAACAGGCUGCCAGAACAGGGACUAUUUGAGGUUCUGCAGGAGCUGAGACAAGAUGUGUGUCCUUUCUCUCAAUAUGGUGGUGGGAAGACGAAGGAACAGAAGAGAGUCCU